GCCAAGGGACUCUAGCAUGGGAAAUUCGGCUAGGUAUUGUAGUAGUGGGAAUUUCAGCAUUUGGGGUGUGUUGUGCCGAAAUUCUGAUCAUCUUUUCUUCUCCUCUUUUCUUUAUUUCUUUUUCUCCAUCUACCUUCUCCUCUUCCUUCUCCAUAGCCGAACCCUUCUAUCUCUUUACUCUUCAUCACAUCCUUAAUCUUUUUAUUUUUAGCCUUAUAAGCCGAACAUCAUAAAAAGCCGAAAUCCUGAAAGCUUAUUCUUUUUGUGCCG
rnacentral:lncRNA from 1 species